rnacentral:sRNA from 1 species
GUCAGCCCGUUCAACGUCUUGAGGCGACGCCCGAAAUUGUAGGCUUUGAUGAAGUCCUGAAGGUGCUGGCGGAGUUGAUCGUGGUCGUCAUAGUGGAACCGCUUGACGGUGGCCUCCUUGAUC